AUUGUGUUUUCAGCAAUGACACUAUUACUAUCAUUUUGUGGAGGUUUCUGAGUUCAUGCCUUGAUGAUCUCUAACACCACAAAGCAGGGAUGGGUAUUUCAUCCCAUCAGGGUGUUGGAAAUAGUAUAAGAAAAACUUAGGUUAAUAUAAUCCAAACACUAUCUCAGAUUGUGCCAAUCAAAAAGCUAGAUUCCAGCACUUCACAUCUUCAUCUUGGCUGCAAGGUUUUUAAGUGUGUUUGCUUUCUCUAGAAUAAACACUGUUUUCAAGCAGUGUAAUUUCCAUUUGGAAAGCAAAACUUCUUGCUCUAAAAAUGCCAAAGCAAAUUUGAUUUUAAAUUUUUCUGUGAUCGAUGCAAUUUCAUCUGGAUCAUUCCUUUUCUGCAGCCUCAGAGUCAACAAACGGGCAUGGUGAAAUGUUCCCUGGGAAAGUCUGUGACCAUGGUUACUUCACCCCUGUGAACUUCCACCUGUAAGUGUCUCGGACCUGGGCUGAGAAGGUCGAUCCCUGCUGGUGCUGUCUGCUGAAUCAAGGGGAGAGCCCUGAAGAGCCUGACACAAGCACCCCGGGCUGUGCCAGCCUCAUCUUGCACAGGAGAACCUCUUACCACCAUAAGCUGGCCUGUCUUUCUUGCCUCAACCAGCACAAAAGCAUCUUCAGUGACUCACUGCUCCCUAACCCACCUUUGGUUUCCUCCUUGUUUCACAGCACACAAAGCAGCCUCCUCUCUUGUACCUGCACCACUAUUCAGAUCUCACACACGUAUCAUGCUUCCCUCAACUGUUGU